rnacentral:lncRNA from 1 species
AUUCUUCCCAUGCUGAAUUUUUUUUAGCAAAUUUUCCUCAUUUGUAUCCAGUGUCCUCUCUACAUGACAGAACAGGAAAUCUCAUUCCUUUAUAGGACCCUGUAAGCGAUAGAGAAUUUGACCAAGCUGGAAGAGCUGCUGAAUGCUGAGGCACAUGGGACCUGUUGCAGAGUGACUGAGCAGCACCCGUGUUUCACAGACGCAGGCCAGGGACACCUUACAAGGCAGCAGCAUAUUCAAGUGCCCUCAUUCCUCCUCGGUCACCUGAGACUCAGGCUGACACAGGAAGUUAAAUUCUGUGUAUAAAUUGAUGUAGUUUUGUUUGUCAAAAUGGAGAUUCCCUGACUAGACAGGCUUUUAAUCAG